GUCCCGCUGGUGCCCGGCGCACGCCUGCAUUUCAUAUGCAGAUCUGCCCAAUAGUUGUGCAGGACGACCCCGUUCGACUCGGGGGCGGGACA